ensembl:lncRNA
AUAAAUAAAUGCAUAAAUAAAUAUAAAGAUAAAUCUAUUUAAAAAAUGUUAAUAAAAAAAUGUGUGAUAUAAAAUGUCCCAAUAUUUAUACAGACUAUAUAAGCAUAUAAAUAAAUACAAUUAAUAACAAAUAAAAAAGGAAAAGAAAGAAAAAGCCCAAACAAGUCUCUACAAACUAUACUAUAGUACUUUGGGGACAAUUUAUGAAUUCUACCCAAUUAAUUCUGUUUUAGAAAUGUAAAUAUAUUUUGUAAAAAUUGAUUAAAUAAAGUCAAAGCAAGUACUUCUAAACUGCACCAUUAUUUAUUUUUUGAGUGUAGCAGUUUUUUUGUAAGUGUUAAAUCACAAAAUAUGCAUGAAAGAACCAUCUGGAAACCUCUGAUCUUGAAACCAGCCAGGUCAUCUUGUUUUCCAAAGGUGAAUAAAUGAGAAAGCCUGUAACUUCCUGCGUGAGUUCCUGCGACUCUGUGAUGUUGUGUAGGUUGGCUGUGCCCUCCACUGGUUGAGCUGCCUUAUUGAUUCCACCGCCGCCUGCUGGGCCAAAGGGAUGAUGGGGCAUACCAUGAAUAAAGACACUUUUCAUCCCAAUUUAAGGUAUAACAGCUAAUAUGCAAUAGAUAUUCAUCAUCAUUUGUGCAUUUUAAUGCUUGAAGACACUGCAGAUCCGAUCUGAAUAUAAAUUAUGAAUCACAAAUGUGUCAGUUCUCACCUGUGGUUUGAUUGGUGGGAGUAGUUUGAAUGGCAGGGGCUGGGGUUAGAAGUCCUGCCCCUUACCAAUAUGGGGGCUGGAAGGGUAUAAAAUGUAUUUUGGUGGCCAGUCAAGCAUAAGGAAGUCAAAAGCACGUUUGCUGGUUGCUUUAUGUCUGCUGCACAGUUUCCCACAUAGACCUGUGCUAAAGAUGCUGUCACGAAAUCUUGUAAUUGCCUCAGUGGCUGUUGUGCUUCUGGCGUCCACCCUAUCUACGGCUCCUGUUGAAGAUAAGGAGCCUGAAGAAAAUGACUUUGAGGCUGAAGAGGGUGAAGAAGAACUGUCUGAGGAGGAAGAGGAUGAUGAUGACUCCAAAGGUCAGCAUAUGAAGGGAGCCGGAUCGCAGCAGGCCACUGCAGCACCCAAAGGCUUGGGUAUGACUCCUGGCAGCGCCGUUGCGGGCGAAUCCCCAAACGGUCAGAAACUUAAUGGUGGCACUCAAACUGGCCAAGUCUGUAAGUGUGAACCUGAUCUAUCAGGGGCAAAACUUUCACACAAAUCGUACUUUAGAAAAGCAACACCGACUGACCUUGUGUAGGAAAUACACUACAGAGCUACAAUAUACGCACAUGGUCAUAGCUGAACAUCAGAAGGUCAAAUCUAGAUAUAUCUUCUCAUUCAUGGCCAAUUAAAAACUAAACUAGUGUUUUUGUCAUUACAGCAUCAGGCAGCACAUCAGCAGCUUCAAAUGGAGCAAAUGGUGACCAGCAUUUCAAUCAGAAUUUAUUAAAACAGCUCUGCAUCUUGAGAAAAAAAAAACAUUCUGUUGAUUUGCAAAAAAAAAAAGGCCUAUAUUACCCAAUUUUAUGAUGCUGAUUUCAAAAAUAUAAAUAAAAACUUCCUAUCACAUUUCUUCCCCA